GCCCGGAAAGGGUGGAGCACAACGUCGAAAGCAGCCGUUGGGAGCCCAGGAGGCGGGGCGCCUGUGGGAGCCGUGGAGGGAACUUUCCCAGUCCCCGAGGCGGAUCCGGUGUUGCAUCCUUGGAGCGAGCUGAGAGCUCGAGGUGAGCUGGGCUCGCGGUCGCCCCUCUCGCGCGCCCUCUUUAAGAACCACGGCGUCCAACCUCCCUGGAAAUGGGGGGAACAUGGCCGAGGCGCGUGGCGAGGCCGCCUCGUGGAGGCCCCGGAGCGGCAUCCUCAGCGCCCCAGCGAUCCGGUGCCCAUUAGUACAGAACCUGCUAAGGCCAUCAAACCUAUUGAUCGGAAGUCAGUCCAUCAGAUUUGCUCUGGGCCGGUGGUACCGAGUCUAAGCACUGCGGUGAAGGAGUUAGUAGAAAACAGUCUGGAUGCUGGUGCCACUAAUAUUGAUCUAAAGCUUAAGGACUAUGGAGUGGAUCUCAUUGAAGUUUCAGGCAAUGGAUGUGGGGUAGAAGAAGAAAACUUCGAAGGCUUAACUCUGAAACAUCACACAUCUAAGAUUCAAGAGUUUGCCGACCUACCUCAGGUUGAAACUUUUGGCUUUCGGGGGGAAGCUCUGAGCUCACUUUGUGCACUGAGUGAUGUCACCAUUUCUACCUGCCAUGUAUCGGCGAAGGUUGGGACUCGACUGGUGUUUGAUCACUAUGGGAAAAUCAUCCAGAAAACCCCCUACCCCCACCCCAGAGGGAUGACAGUCAGUGUGAAGCAGUUAUUUUCUACGCUACCUGUGCACCAUAAAGAAUUUCAAAGGAAUAUUAAGAAGGACUCCUAGAAGUACCCCACCCCACCCCUGCUCCUUGGAGGACAACGUGAUCACUGUAUUCAGCUCUGUCAAGAAUGGUCCAGGUUCUUCUAGAUGAUCUGCACAAAUGGCUCCUCUCCUCCUUCCUGAUGUCUGCCAUUAGCACUGGAAUAAAGUUCCUGCUGAAAAUCCACAUC
rnacentral:lncRNA from 1 species